rnacentral:lncRNA from 1 species
CCGUGCGGAGCCCGGGUGAAGCGGGCCGGAGGGCGCCGAGCCCGCGAUCCUCUCCGCCCCACCUCCUCGCCUCCUGGCGUUCGAUCCCCCAGGGCCCCUCGGCGCUUCCUACCAGGCCCUGCGGCUGCCGAGCUCGCGGAGAGAUGGGACCUCGGCCUCGGACGGCUGAGCGGGCUCUGCGUCCGCCGGCGCCCCCUGCUCUCCUGCGGGGCUCUGACCCGCGCUGCCCGACGCGCCCUCCGUGUCCAGCGACUGAGGCUGUGCCCUGGCUCAGCGCCUGGUGGGGGUCCAGUGUUCACCAGUUGUGAACAAAUGCACAAGAGAGAAGAAAAGGAGAGACACAUCCUUGUAAGGUGGCAUGGCCUCAUCACGUUGUGGAAGAUCAGAGAAAGACUACGUGGGAGCCAACCAGAGGGAGAGGGGGCAGCUCGGUGCAGAGGGGCCCUUGAGAGGUGUCUCCAUCCUGUCAGGAAGCAGCUGGACCACAGUGCUCCCAAGAGGUGUCCACCCUUUCCUCUCCUGUCUGGGCCAAGUUGA